UUCACUUUCUCAUAGCCCAUGCGUAUAAGUGAUCGUGCAGUGUAUGUAUCAGUAUGAAGUAGCUGCCUGGAGAUCUCCCCCUCGACAGAUAUGUCGUGCUGUCGGAAGAUCAAGGUGAGUAUCAUACCAUAAGGCAGAGAUACUCUGGAGUUGCAGAUCACCUUCCUCAUCUGCCUCAGGAUCAUGGCCGGGAGAUUCAGGGGAAUACCCU
rnacentral:lncRNA from 1 species